GAUGAACGCUGGCGGCGUGCCUAAUACAUGCAAGUCGAGCGAACGGACGAGAAGCUUGCUUUUCUGAUGUUAGCGGCGGACGGGUGAGUAACACGUGGAUAACCUACCUAUAAGACUGGGAUAACUUCGGGAAACCGGAGCUAAUACCGGAUAAUAUUUUGAACCGCAUGGUUCAUAAGUGAAAGACGGUCUUGCUGUCACUUAUAGAUGGAUCCGCGCUGCAUUAGCUAGUUGGUAAGGUAACGGCUUACCAAGGCAACGAUGCAUAGCCGACCUGAGAGGGUGAUCGGCCACACUGGAACUGAGACACGGUCCAGACUCCUACGGGAGGCAGCAGUAGGGAAUCUUCCGCAAUGGGCGAAAGCCUGACGGAGCAACGCCGCGUGAGUGAUGAAGGUCUUCGGAUCGUAAAACUCUGUUAUUAGGGUAGAACAUAUGUGUAAGUAACUGUGCACAUCUUGACGGUACCUAAUCAGAAAGCCACGGCUAACUACGUG
rnacentral:rRNA from 1 species